rnacentral:rRNA from 1 species
AACGAACGCUGGCGGCAUGCCUAACACAUGCAAGUCGAACGAGACCUUCGGGUCUAGUGGCGCACGUGUGCGUAACGCGUGGUAACCUGCCCUUAGGUUCGGAAUAACUCCCCGUAAGGGGUGCUAAUACCGGUUAAUCUCUUCGGACCAAAGAUUUAUCGCCUUUGGAUGGGCCCGCGUUGGAUUAGCUGGUUGGUAGGGUAAAAGCCUACCAAGGCGACGAUCCAUAGCUGGUCUGAGAGGAUGAUCAGCCACACUGGGACUGAGACACGGCCCAGCAUGCGACGGGAGGGAGCAGUGGGGAAUAUUGGACAAUGGGCGAAAGCCUGAUCCAGCAAUGCGGGGUGAGUGAGGAAGGGGUUAGGGUUGUAAAGCUGUUUUACACGGGAUGAUAAUGACAGUAACGGGAGAAUAAGCACCGGCUAACUACGUG